rnacentral:misc_RNA from 1 species
UUUCCGUAGGUGAACCUGCGGAAGGGUCAUUCAUAAUAAAGUGUUUUAUGGCACUUUUUAAAAAUCCAUAUCCACCUUGUGUGCAAUGUUAGAUCUCGUCAAUCUUGGCGAGAUUUUUAUACAUCAACUCAUUCUUUAACUAAUUUGUCUGAAAAAUAUUAUGAAUACUUAAUUCAAAGUACAACUUUCAACAACGGAUCUCUUGGCUCUC